CAUCGAUUCAUGAUUAUUAACGUUGUUUUUUUUUCUUGAAUUUAGAAUCGUUAAAUCAUUGAUUACGUUAUGACAUAAUGAUAAUAAUAAUAAUGUCGUGGAUUGAUCAUUUGAUAUAUGAGUUAAUGAUCAUAUUAUAUAAUUAUGCAACGAUUCUGGUUUUUUUGAUUAUUGUUCCAACCAAAGAAUCCAUCUUUAACAACAAAAAAACAUGAUUGACGAAAACAUUUCCCACAUUUACUGGAUUUCAUUUGAUUGGAAAAAUGGUCACUCAAUAACCGUAUAAUUCAUUCUACAUAGCAUCAUCAUUAUGGAAAAUCAUCACCGUGUGUGUGUUUUCUGAUUUCCUAACUUUUUCUUUCUGAUUGUUAAUUAAGUUCUGGUCGAAAUAGUGUGUGUGUGUGUGUGUGUGAAAAUUGAAUCCAUUCAUGUUCACAUUUCUCUCUACAGAAAUUAAUUCAAAUGAUGAUGAUGAUGAUGAUUGAGUUAACAGCACAGCCUAAAAAAAUGCAAAUUUUUUUUACUUUUUUGCAAAUCAUUCAUGAUAUCCAUGUCUAAUUAACAUUUUGAAUCAAUGUUCAACAUGGUAAACUUCUAGUUGCUUCCACACACACAGAGAUUUAUUAUGGUCAAUAUAUUGUGAUCAUAACGUUAUUGUUGUUAAACUAAACAAAAAUCAGCAACAAAAAACACUCACACAGUUUCAAAGUUUGUUUGACCCUUUCACUUAUAUGUCAAUACGUUAUUGGUGGUGUGCUCCACCCAGUUCUUUGUUUCUUUUUCUCUCUGAGGUUUACCGAUCAAAUGGCCCAAAAUGAUCGGUUUUACAUUUACAGAACUUUAUAAUAUUUGUUCCACAAGGCGUUGAAGAGUGGAGAAUAAAAAAAUUUUCUAAAAAUA